GGAGGGGUGGCAGAGUGGUCUAUCGCGUCGGUCUUGAAAACCGAAGUCGGGAAACUGACCGUGGGUUCGAAUCCCACCCCCUCCG
rnacentral:tRNA from 1 species